rnacentral:rRNA from 1 species
CCUACGGGUGGCAGCAGUGGGGAAUAUUGCACAAUGGGGGAAACCCUGAUGCAGCGACGUCGCGUGAGUGAAGAAGUAAUUCGUUAUGUUAAGCUCUAUCAGCAGGGAAGAAAAUGACGGUACCUGAGUAAGAAGCCCCGGCUAACUACGUGCCAGCAGCCGCGGUAAUACGUAGGGGGCCAGCGUUAUCCGGAUUUACUGGGGGUAAAGGGAGCGUAGACGGCAGUGCAAGUCUGGAGGGAAAGUCGGGGGCUCAACCCCCGGACUGCUCUUGAAACUGUACGGCUGGAGUGCAGGAGAGGUAAGUGGAAUUCGUGGUGUAGCGGUGAAAUGCGUAGAUAUUACGAAGAACACCGAUUGCGAAGGCAGCUUACUGGACUGUAACUGACGUUGAGGCUCGAAAGCGUGGGGAGCAAACAGGAUUAGAUACCCUUGUAGUC